rnacentral:rRNA from 1 species
GGUCUAUAGAAUUCAUUGUAGAUCAAGCCUGCUCAAUGCAUCAGUAAAUAGCCGCGGUACUCUGACCGUGCAAAGGUAGCAUAAUAAUUAGCCCUUUAAUUGGGGGCUGGAAUAAACGGUUUCACUAGGUAGUGCUGUCUCGUAGUUAUAUCUUAAACUUUACUUGCCAGUAAGAAGGCCGGCAUUGUAAUAGAGGACAAGAAGACCCUAUCGAGCUUUACAAGCAGACUCUCCACAUCUAAAAGGAGGGUCAACUUGAUGGACUGGGGCAGUAGAGGACAUUUAUCCUUCAAAUACUAUGGGUCAUAACCCUAACCAAAUCUAGAAUUUCUAAAAAGAGAACAAGUUACCGUAGGGAUAACAGCGUAAUUUCACUAGAGAGAACACAUUGACAGUGAAGUUUGCGACCUCGAUGUUGGAUUAAGGAACCUACCCUAUGCAGGAGUAAGGUAAGGCAGUCUGUUCGACUAUUAAACCCUUCCA